UGGGGAAUCUUGCGCAAUGGCCGCAAGGCUGACGCAGCGACGCCGCGUGUGGGAGGACGCCCUUCGGGGUGUAAACCACUGUUGCCCGGGACGAACGAGGGGUUUCGACCCCUGUGACGGUACCGGGUGAGGAAGCACCGGCUAACUCCGUGCCAGCAGCCGCGGUAAUACGGAGGGUGCGAGCGUUGUCCGGAAUCACUGGGCGUAAAGGGCGCGUAGGCGGUGGCUUAAGCGUGCGGUGAAAGCCCGGGGCUCAACCCCGGGUCGGCCGUGCGGACUGGGUCACUCGAGCACUGUAGGGGCGGGUGGAAUUCCGGGUGUAGCGGUGGAAUGCGUAGAGAUCCGGAAGAACACCGGUGGCGAAGGCGGCCCGCUGGGCAGUGGCUGACGCUGAGGCGCGACAGCGUGGGGAGCAAACAG
rnacentral:rRNA from 1 species